rnacentral:rRNA from 1 species
UACGGAAGGCAGCAGUGGGGAAUAUUGCACAAUGGGCGCAAGCCUGAUGCAGCCAUGCCGCGUGUAUGAAGAAGGCCUUCGGGUUGUAAAGUACUUUCAGCGGGGAGGAAGGCGAUGUGGUUAAUAACCGCAUCGAUUGACGUUACCCGCAGAAGAAGCACCGGCUAACUCCGUGCCAGCAGCCGCGGUAAUACGGAGGGUGCAAGCGUUAAUCGGAAUUACUGGGCGUAAAGCGCACGCAGGCGGUCUGUCAAGUCGGAUGUGAAAUCCCCGGGCUUAACCUGGGAACUGCAUUCGAAACUGGCAGGCUAGAGUCUUGUAGAGGGGGUAGAAUUCCAGGUGUAGCGGUGAAAUGCGUAGAGAUCUGGAGGAAUACCGGUGGCGAAGGCGGGCCCCUGGGACAAAGACUGACGCUCAGGUGCGAAAGCGUGGGGAGCAAACGAGGAUUAGGAUAACC